rnacentral:rRNA from 1 species
UACGAAGGGGGCUAGCGUUGCUCGGAAUCACUGGGCGUAAAGCGCACGUAGGCGGCUUCUUAAGUCAGGGGUGAAAUCCUGGAGCUCAACUCCAGAACUGCCUUUGAUACUGAGGAGCUUGAGUCCGGAAGAGGUGAGUGGAACUCCGAGUGUAGAGGUGAAAUUCGUAGAUAUUCGGAAGAACACCAGUGGCGAAGGCGGCUCACUGGUCCGGUACUGACGCUGAUGUGCGAAAGCGUGGGGAGCAAACAGGG